CACGGUAAACGAUGGAUGCCCGCUGUUUGCCUUUGAGGUAAGCGGCCAAGCGAAAGCAUUAAGCAUCCCACCUGGGGAGUACGCCGGCAACGGUGAAACUCAAAGGAAUUGACGGGGGCCCGCACAAGCGGAGGAACAUGUGGUUUAAUUCGAUGAUACGCGAGGAACCUUACCCGGGCUUGAACUGCACAGGAAUGCGGGAGAGAUCCCAAAGCCCCUCGGGGCCUGUGUGGAGGUGCUGCAUGGUUGUCGUCAGCUCGUGCCGUGAGGUGUCGGCUUAAGUGCCAUAACGAGCGCAACCCUUCUCUUCAGUUGCCAUCACUUCGGGUGGGCACUCUGGAGACACUGCCACCGUAAGGUGUGAGGAAGGUGGGGAUGACGUCAAAUCAGCACGGCCCUUACGUCCGGGGCUACACACGUGUUACAAUGACGCGUACAGAGGGCUGGCAUACGGUAACGUGUGUCUAAUCCUUAAAACGCGUCUCAGUUCGGACUGGGGUCUGCAACCCGACC
rnacentral:rRNA from 1 species